rnacentral:rRNA from 1 species
GACGAACGCUGGCGGCGUGCUUAACACAUGCAAGUCGAACGGAAAGGCCCUGCUUUUGUGGGGUGCUCGAGUGGCGAACGGGUGAGUAACACGUGAGUAACCUGCCCUUGACUUUGGGAUAACUUCAGGAAACUGGGGCUAAUACCGGAUAGGAGCUCCUGCUGCAUGGUGGGGGUUGGAAAGUUUCGGCGGUUGGGGAUGGACUCGCGGCUUAUCAGCUUGUUGGUGGGGUAGUGGCUUACCAAGGCUUUGACGGGUAGCCGGCCUGAGAGGGUGACCGGCGACAUUGGGACUGAGACACGGCCCAGACUCCUACGGGAGGCAGCAGUGGGGAAUAUGGCAUAAUGGGCGGAAGCCUGAUGCAGCAACGCCGCGUGCGGGAUGACGGCCUUCGGGUUGUAAACCGCUUUCGCCUGUGACGAAGCGUGAGUGACGGUAAUGGGUAAAGAAGCACCGGCUAACUACGUG